GCAAGGACAGGUUUACCUCAGAAAUAUGAGAGAAUGGGAGGAGGUAAACAGAGGAGAGAAAAUGCAACAAGAUGAGGAUACCCAACCGAGGCUGAGCGUGGGAGGAGCCCCCACCUGAGGCUGGCAUCUCUUCUUCCUUCUCCGGCGUUGAUUUUGCUCGCCCCUUCUCAACCAGAGGCUCCGCUCCAUCCAUCCAUCCAUCCACGCUGCUGCUGCUACUGCUUCUCUCCACCACACUUGCUGCUGCACCUACGUCGGCUGUUCUUCUACCUCUCCACCGGAAAACUGCUGCCGCUCCAUUGCUUCGGCAACCUGCUCAGGUCUAUCUCCAUGUCUCCAGUCCAGUCAUCGUCUUCUAAUUUUGUACAUCACAUGUAUAACUAGAGAGCAAAGAUAAAUUCUUGCCCAGCCAGAGAUGACUGGAAUAAUGGUGAGCGCUUCAACCGGGGUGAUGAACUCUCUCCUGGGUAAGCUGGCCACCCUGAUGGGGGAGGAGUUCGCCAAGCUGAAGAACCUGAGGAAGGAGGUGAAGCACAUCAGCGAUGAGCUGAGCAGCAUGAAGGAUGCUCUAGAGAGCCUUGCAGAUGUGGAUACACUAGAUAAACAGACCGCUAGCUGGAGGGACGCGGUCAGGGAGAUGUCGUAUGACAUCGAGGAUAUUAUUGAUGACUUCAUGUGCAAAAUUGGGGAGAAAAGCAAAAAAACUGGUUUUAUCCACGACACCAUUCAACGCCUCAAAACUUCAAGGGCCCGCCAUCAGAUCGCUGGGAAGAUUGGGGACAUCAAGAAACUUGUGCGUGAAACAAGUGAGCGGCGUGAAAGAUAUAAGAUUGAUGUCCCCAAAUCGGGCAAUGUGGUAGUUGACCAACGCGUUGUGGCGCUCUAUGAAGAAUCAUCUAAACUUGUUGGUAUGGAUGGCCCAACCAAUAGGCUUGUCAGUUGGCUAAAAGAUGAGGAGAUGAUGUUGAAGAUUGUAUCAGUUAUUGGUUUUGGAGGUUUGGGAAAAACAACACUUGCCAAUCAGGUAUACCAUAAGCUGGAGGGUGAAUUUCAGUGUGGUGCAUUUUUGCCGGUGUCUCAAAAGCCAAAUAUGCCAAAACUUCUUCAUAGUUUAUUAACCCAACUUGGGUGUGGACAAUAUUGUCAUGACUGUGAGUUAAAUGUUCUUCUCAACCAAGUCAGAGAAAAUCUAAAAAACAAGAGGUACUUGGUUAUUAUCGAUGAUCUAUGGGAUGUAUCAGCAUGGAAUAUUAUUAAAUGUGCUUUCCCAGAAAAUAAUCUUGGUAGUAGAUUAAUAGUAACUACAAGAAUCAAGACUGUGGCUGGGGCAUGUUGUUUCAGUUACCAUGAGCACAUUCUUGAAAUGAAACCUCUUAGUGAAGAAGACUCAAGGAAAUUGUUUUUUGGUAGGAUAUUUUUCUCUGAAGAAGCUUGUCCAGGUCAACUCAGAGAUCUUUCAGUUGAGAUUCUCAAGAAGUGUGGUGGUUUGCCACUUGCAAUCAUUUGCAUAUCCAGCCUAUUGGCAAGUGAACGUUUCAACCAAAAGGAGAGGUGGAAACAUGUACUGAAUUCAUUGGGGUCUGUGUCAGGCACAAAUCUUACCUUGGAAGCAAUGAGACAGAUCUUGAACCUUAGCUACAAAAAUCUUCCUCACCACCUCAAGACAUGCUUCUUGUAUCUUGGUAUGUUUCUGGAGGACUCUGAAAAAUAUAGGCAUGAGUUGGUAAGCCUAUGGGUUUCUGAAGGCUUUGUUAGUAAAGCACAUGGACAAAAUCCAAAACAGAUUGCGAUAAGUUAUUUUAAUGAGCUUGUCAACAUGAGUCUUAUUCAACCUGCACAGGUUGACAUGCAUGGGUCAGUGUUAACUUGCAAAGUACAUGAUAUGUUGUUGGAUCUUAUCCUGUACAAGUCCGCGGAAGAGAAUUUUAUCACUGUAGUAGACAACCCAGAGGCCAUUACAGGACAGCUUCAAAAGCCCCGUCGGGUGCUCUUCAACUUGGAUGGUGCAACAUUACCAAGGGACGUUAAUAUGUCACAAGUGCGAUCAUUUGGAAACUGGAGAGGCUCCAUGAAUAUACCUUUUUUGGCAGAAUUCAAGUAUCUUCGAGUUUUUAUUGCUGACUUCAGUUCUAGUUCUGUUGAUGGCAACCGGAAAAUCGACCUGACAGGAUUGUGUAAGUUAUAUCAGCUGCGACAUAUACAGAUUGAAGGCUGUGAUAACUGCCAGCUACCAACGCAGAUUAGAGGGCUACAAAAGUUGGAAACAUUUGAUAUAGAUGGGUCCUGUAUCCCAAUGGAUAUUUUUCACCUGUCCUGUUUGUUGUCUCUGCAUAUUUUUCACCUGCCAUGUUUGUUGCCUGAGGGCAUUGGUAAAAUGACAUGCCUACAGCGUCUGAGAUGGUUUGACACACUGCACACCUCAAUCGACAGUAUCAAGGGCCUAGGAGAGCUUACCAAUCUGAGACUUCUGUACCUCACAACCGGUUUUUCUGAAGAUGUGGACAUGGAUGUUCUAAACUCUUCUUUGGCGAAACUUUGUAACCUCGACUCCCUGAACCUAUUUUCACCUGAUUCUUGGAUACCUGAGGCACUAACCUUGUCGCCUCCUCCCCCCAACCUCAUGGGACUCUCCAUGAUGCGAAUAUCCCGGGUCCCAAACUGGAUUGGGGAACUCCACAACCUCCAGAGCUUGCAUAUCACUGUUGAUAAGCUAGACAAGGAUGAUGUUGGUAUUCUUGCAGGGUUACCCGCCCUCAUGGACCUAGAAUUAACGUUCAGUAGAGCCCUGGAAGAAACAAUUGUCAUCUAUGGGACAACAUUCGCAAUCCUGAAGCGGUUUGUUGUCUACUGGACUGUCAUGCCACAACUGACCUUCCAAGCCGGAGCAAUGCCUAAGCUCCAGAGCCUCUCUCUACCUUUGAACGCCAGGGGGUGGAAGCAGGACGAGAGCGCCACACCUACAGGCAUCGAGCACUUGUUAGCACUUGAAAGAAUCUCUGUGGGGAUUGCGAGUGGUACUGAAUCUGAACAGCGAAGCGCAGAGUCUGCCAUUAGGAGCGCUAUCAACAUGCAUCCCGGCCUUGCUCACAUUAAAGUCGAUAUCCAAUGUUACUAACAAACAGUUUUUUUUUAUUUGGUCGUACCAGCCACGUCCAGCAGCUGGUAUGUUCAAAUUUCCAUCUCCAAUCUCCUGACUCCAGUCUGUCUCUUAGUUUCCUAACUUGCAGUUUGGGCUGUAGCUCGCCAUAAUACUGCACCUUUAUUUUUGUUGUAGCAAGACUUUGUAGAUCUAUGCAGAUUUAAAAAUUGCAUAUGCUUCAUUAAAUUGAAAAUCCGGAGCUCUACAAAUUUUUUUUCAACAUUUGAGCAGUUAUGAUUUCCUUUAUGAACGGUUGUUAAGCGAGUCUUUGGAAAUGUCUAGGUCGAGUGUGCGCAAUAAAAUUUGAGGUGCAUAUAGAUUGAAGUAAAGUAGCCCUGUAUGUUAGCACUGUUUGAUUAACUAGGUAACACACAGGUAUUUUAGAGAGUUCAGCCAUUCUCAUAGACACUGAUUGUCAGGGAAGGCGGUUCUUUUAUAUGGAGCAAUAAGAUGAGGCACGCCAAGGAACAUUGAGGUGUCUCCAACAUUUAUGUUGUAUUGUAGUGGAUGGAGAUGGAUUGCUGCAUUUUCUCCCUGUCGGGAAUACCGAGCUAUCACUUUGCUUUGUUCUGCUAGUUAUCUCGACGAACUGUUUACACUUUGUCUCAAAGAUUAUGCACGAUUACGCUUUGCUUGGGUUCUCCUGUAGUAGUGCUUGAUUGGUGGGCAGGAGAAGCCAGGGAUCAUAUGUUCUUGUUAUUGUUGUAUAUGUGUACGUUUGCUUCUUUCAUCAAACGUAUUCAACUGAACAUCUAUUUCUUGUACUGUUUGCAUUUCUCAAAAAGUCAGUUUAUAUGUUGUAUUUCAUGGCAUUGAUUCCUAUGCAAUUUCGUGUUGGAUCACUGAUUGUUCUAUCUAUGGAAAGCAUACUAAAUAAUUUCAACGGUUUCCUUUGCAUAUGGACAUAUGGAUGCUGUCUAGACAGAGCACGCAUGUUUCCUACAGGGAGCACUAGCAGAGCAGAGCAUGCAGGGGAAAGUUUCUGAAUAUGAUCUGUGGACAGACGCGACCAACCUGAAUAAUAGAUAGUCAGCAGCGGGUUAUAUGAUGCAGUGAAUCGAUGGCUGCAGGGGAAUCGAAUCGACGAUGAAGCCGGUCCAUGCGCCGCCGCCAGCCUACGCCCGAGCUUCUAAGAGUCCCUCCCAUCCAUGAAAUCAUCUCCGUUGCCGGUUUAUGGGCAGAAAAAUGCAUCCAACCAUGGGAAUGGAGACGGUGUUGGGACAGUCCAUUGGCAUGGCAUUGUCGCGACGGCGAUGAAGAUGGACCUUGCAGACAUCGUCGCGACGGCGCGCUCGGCCGUCGGCUGUUCAAGCUCCGGCGAAUAGUCGCCCCAAUAGACCUUUCUCAGCUAGAUGGACUUUCUUCCAGGCCAGAUCCAUUUUGUGUUGAUUUCCCCUCUCAAUUUGUAUCAUUUUUCUGUCGUCGAAAAAGAAAUUUUGUAUAUAAUAUUCCCUGCCAUGCGUUGUGGUGGGUAGUGGUGAGUGGCGCGGCGCACGACACCGAUGGUAAGAGGAAGGAGACUUUUCUUCAGUAUGAAUAAGACAACAAACGUUGAUUACCUAGAAGUAGGUGUUGUACUCCCUCCGUUUCAAA
rnacentral:rRNA from 1 species